rnacentral:rRNA from 1 species
AUGAACGCUGGCGGCGUGCCUCAUCCAUGCCAGUCGAGCGAACGGACGAGAAGCUUGCUUCUCUGAUGUUAGCGGCGGACGGGUGAGUAACACGUGGAUAACCUACCUAUAAGACUGGGAUAACUUCGGGAAACCGUAGCUAAUACCGGAUAAUAUUUUGAACCGCAUGGUUCAAAAGUGAAAGACGGUCUUGCUGUCACUUAUAGAUGGAUCCGCGCUGCAUUAGCUAGUUGGUAAGGUAACGGCUUACCAAGGCAACGAUGCAUAGCCGACCUGAGAGGGUGAUCGGCCACACUGGAACUGAGACACGGUCCAGACUCCUACGGGAGGCAGCAGUAGGGAAUCUUCCGCAAUGGGCGAAAGCCUGACGGAGCAACGCCGCGUGAGUGAUGAAGGUCUUCGGAUCGUAAAACUCUGUUAUUAGGGAAGAACAUAUGUGUAAGUAACUGUGCACAUCUUGACGGUACCUAAUCAGAAAGCCACGGCUAACUACGUG